UACAGAGGGUGCGAGCGUUGUUCGGAAUUACUGGGCGUAAAGGGCUCGUAGGCGGCCAACUAAGUCGGACGUGAAAUCCCUCGGCUUAACCGGGGAACUGCGUCCGAUACUGGAUGGCUUGAGUUCGGGAGAGGGAUGCGGAAUUCCAGGUGUAGCGGUGAAAUGCGUAGAUAUCUGGAGGAACACCGGUGGCGAAGGCGGCAUCCUGGACCGAAACUGACGCUGAGGAGCGAAAGCCAGGGGAGCAAACGGG
rnacentral:rRNA from 1 species